CCUACGGGUGGCAGCAGUGAGGAAUAUUGGUCAAUGGGCGCGAGCCUGAACCAGCCAAGUAGCGUGAAGGAUGACUGCCCUAAGGGUUGUAAACUUCUUUUAUAAAGGAAUAAAGUGAGGCACGUGUGCCUUUUUGUAUGUACUUUAUGAAUAAGGAUUGGCUAACUCCGUGCCAGCAGCCGCGGUAAUACGGAGGAUCCGAGCGUUAUCCGGAUUUAUUGGGUGUAAAGGGGGCGUAGAUGGGGUGUUAAGUCAGUUGUGAAAGGUUGGGGGUCAACCGUAAAAUUGCAAUUGAUACUGGCAGUCUGGAGUACAUGUGAGGUAUGCGGAAUGCGUGGUGUAGCGGUGAAAUGCUUAGAUAUCACGAAGAACUCCGAUUGCGAAGGCAGCUUACUAAACGGCCACUGACAUUGAUGCACGAAAGUGUGGGUAUCAAACAGGAUUAGAUACCCCAGUAGUC
rnacentral:rRNA from 1 species